rnacentral:rRNA from 1 species
CCUACGGGGGGCAGCAGUGGGGAAUAUUGCACAAUGGGGGAAACCCUGAUGCAGCAACGCCGCGUGGGUGAAGGAGCGUUUCGGCGCGUAAAGCCCUGUCAGCGGGGAAGAAGAAAGACGGUACCCGACCAAGAAGCCCCGGCUAACUACGUGCCAGCAGCCGCGGUAAUACGUAGGGGGCAAGCGUUAUCCGGAUUUACUGGGUGUAAAGGGAGCGUAGACGGUGAUGCAAGUCAGAAGUGAAAGCCCGGGGCUCAACUCCGGGACUGCUUUUGAAACUGUGUAACUGGAGUGCAGGAGAGGUAAGCGGAAUUCCUGGUGUAGCGGUGAAAUGCGUAGAUAUCAGGAGGAACACCAGUGGCGAAGGCGGCUUACUGGACUGUAACUGACGUUGAGGCUCGAAAGCGUGGGGAGCAAACAGGAUUAGAUACCCGAGUAGUC